rnacentral:rRNA from 1 species
GACGAACGCUGGCGGCGUGCUUAACACAUGCAAGUCGAACGGAAAGGCCCUGCUUUUGUGGGGUGCUCGAGUGGCGAACGGGUGAGUAACACGUGUGUAACCUGCCCUUGUCUUUGGGAUAACUUCAGGAAACUGGGGCUAAUACCGGAUAGGAGCUCCUGCUCCAUGGUGGGGGUUGGAAAGUUUCGGCGGUUGGGGAUGGACUCGCGGCUUAUCGGCUUGUUUGUGGGGUAGUGGCUUACCAAGGGUUUGACGGGUAGCCGGCCUGAGAGGGUGACCGGCGACAUGGGGACUAAGAUAGGGCCCAGUCGCCUACGGGAGGCAGCAGUGGGGAGUAUGGCACAGUGGGCGGAAGCCUGAUGCGGCAACGCCGCGUUCGGGAUGACGGCCUUCGGGUUGUGAACCGCUUUCGCCUGUGACGAAGCGUGAGUGACGGUAAUGAAUAAAGAAGCACCGGCUAACUACGUG